GUGCUCUCAGCCUGGACUUAAAGUUGCUCAAUGAAAUAGGUUCAGUCAAUUUCCACUCUUUUUGCAACAUGUUCAAUGUUGAAGGCGCAGAGUGAACAAAAGCCUUUUUUCCCAGAUCAGUGCAGGCAAAUGGAACAGAGAGCAACAAAUUAUCAUUUGAACACAAAGAAUAAGAGUCGACACUCCGUGUGAUUAAUUACAGAUGUAAGAGGGUAAAAUUCCAAGCAUGGCCUUAUAAAUAAAAGAAUACCAAUAUCCCAGUCUUCUGGUGGACAGAAGAAGGCCAUCCUACUCGAAAAUACAGUUCACAAUUAUGAGUCAAGGCUCUACAGUUGGUAAUAAACCUCAGAGAAGCAUGAUAAACAGUAUCAAUCUUGUGAAGACAUUGAGCUGAAGCAUUCAUAUACAACAGGUCUCCAUAAUUUAAAACUGA